CCUGUAGCGCAAUGGAUAGUGCCUUGGACUUCUCAUCCAAAGUUCGUGGGUUCGAAUCACACGGAAUGGU